rnacentral:rRNA from 1 species
UACAGAGGUCUCGAGCGUUAGGCGGAAUCACUGGGCUUAAAGCGUGUGUAGGUGGAUCGUUAAGUACCUUGUGAAAUCCCACGGCUUAACCGUGGAACUGCUUGGUAUACUGGCGGUCUUGAGCCAGCUAGGGGCUACCGGAACAAAUGGUGGAGCGGUGAAAUGCGUAGAUAUGCGGAGGAACACCGAUGGCGAAGGCAAUCCCCUGGGCCUGCACUGACGCUCAUGCACGAAAGCGUGGGGAGCAAACAGG